ensembl:lncRNA
AAACCCCAGUUCUGGCUUUGAAUUCAGACUGGGGCUGGAACUGUUUACUGAAGCUGAAUCCCAGCAAAACAGCAGCAUAACAACGGUAAAACUGUCUCGAGAAAUACCAAGAAUAUUUUUUCCCUACUUCUGGAGCAACCCAGUGAUGUAAUACAAUGGUUUUCAGUGAUGGAAAUGGGGCUGGAUUUCAAAUGAUUUAGAAGCCCAUUCAAUAAGAGGUUGAAGCACAUGCUUAAGUCAAAACACAUGAGUGCACCAGAACUACUCAUGAGCUCAAAAGUAAGAUACCUGUUGCUGAGCUGGAGCCUUAGGGUACAGCUUGAAGUUGAGGCUAAACUAAUGUAGAGUUAGUGUUGCUGGAAGUGAUUGGUCCUCUCCUGGUUUUCUUCCCUGCAGUGGCUCACGCUGCAGUGAGACAAAUGCUAUUGGUACAACAACAAAUUGGAAGCAACACUGUUGCUUCCCCAGCAACAUGAAGAAGUAUUUGUCUUAUAAAAACAGGAGAAGUCUCAGUUAAUACCGAGAGUCAGUGGAGAAGUGCUGGAGCGAAUUUCUGUACUAACGUGAAGUCCAUGAUGGAUUUCAUGAGCUGCAGCCUGCUAGAGAAUGAAGUAAGGGGAACAAGUAUUUUCCUUAGGUUUAAUAUGUUGUGCCCAUUGGAUCGCAGCCUCUCAAUGACAGUCCAGCUUUUGACAGACGGCCUCAUUUAUCCUUGCUCAUACCCAGCUCUGCUCUGCUGGCAUUGUGCACUCCUGUAGGGCUUUUUUUGGGGGGUAGAGGUUGGAAUUAGCCUGACUUGAACAACUAGGCUGAGGAACACUGAACAGUAAAAUAAAGUCCUGAUGACAUAUUUGAACUCUUGUAGACCAUGGGUUAUCUGAUCUGCAAGGUCACUGCUAUUCUCUGGGAAAGUUUGAAAGAAUCUGCUCUCGUUUCAAGCUUAAAGGGCCCUUCUUGACAACAUGAGGAUGCAGAUUCACUUUGUCUGAACUAUAUGCAUAGGUGAAUGUUUCAGAGUAUUUACUACCUGUAUAUUUUUUUCUUUCCUUUGCAUUUAGAAGCUCAUCAAAGGCAGACAGCAUAGAGUUUGUUUUAAUAAAGAGAAAGAAAAAUUGACUCCGACAAGACUACCAAAACCAACUGAAAUGCGGGAAGGAAAACUGUCAUGUAAAAGUGAGAGACCUAAAAAGAACUUUAAAAUUCCUCUUAAUAAUUUAAACUGUCAGCAGCAGCAGAAAUCAGGAAUUAUAUUUCAGACGCAACUUAUGCCAGGCAUGUCUUAAAAAGGGAAAGACAAAGACAAAUUGAUAAUGCCUGAAGAGGCUGUCCCUGGGAAUAAGAAGUGCAGGGUUCGGCCCUGGAAAGCCAAGCAUCUUUUCCACUCUUCUGUCUGUAAAAGAGAGGAAUGAUGGUCCUUGGUCUUAGUGACUCUAACAGAUGCAGUCGGGGAAGCAGUAGGAAAAUAACAUCAUUAAAACUUCUGUCUUUCUGUAUUUAUGAAAAGUCAGGUUUGUGCCUUGCUCUAAAUGUUUGAGGCUAUUACAGUACAAAGAUUUGGUAUUAAUAUGAUUAGGUUAACAGUAUUUUUUCUGUAAUACGUAUCAUGAAGUCCUGUCAGAAUGAAAUUCAAUGCUAAAAACAUCAAAUAAUAGCUUUCACAGACCAUUAAUGCUUAAGGCUCCAGCGUGGGAGUUAUUAUUACAAAAGGACCCUGAAAUGCUGCUAGCUCUUACUCUUACAUCAGAAUAUACCUUAAGUUAGAGGUAUUUUCCCCCCAGGCUUUGUUUGCUCCAAUAUGAUGUAAGCUCUUGCUCUGACUGUUACGUUGGUAAACAGACCGGCUUAGCUUUGUGGCUGGGUUCUUGCAGUAAAGCCAGGAUCGUGGAGGAGGGAUUGGAGGGGUUGUUCCCAUCCUCCCACAGGGAUCUGAAUGCACAAACUCUUGGCCACUUCGUCCUUGCUGGCUGUGGCAGGCAAUCGCUCCGUCUUUUCCAGACCCUCCAUUGCCUUCGGUGGCGGUGCUGUGCAGCAGGAUGGGCGGCGGUGUCCCUUGUUGGUGUCCCUCAUGCCACCAUGUGUACUGCAGGGAGCAGUGAUGGUUCAUGCCCUCCCCUGAGGGACUGCAAGUUUAAUGUCCUUAAGGAACGUGUAGUUUAUGCAUACAGUGCUGUGCAUUACCCAAGCCAUUCAGAUUUCUCACCUCCCUGCAGGAAUGUGGAUUUGAAUCCAUUUAUUUGACUCCAGGUAGGUGGUAGAGUAUCUUGUGUUUUUCUCCAUGGGCUGAUCUUAUCUUGACAUAAGUCCACAGGUGUCCAUGAAGAUAUUUCAGAGCAGGAAGGAUUCAGUGCAAUGGAGUUAGACAGACUGAUAGCAAAAUGGGCGCUGGUGCCUUUGGUAGGAAUGCCUACUACUCUCCCUCAAUAAAAAGUUUAUGAUUAAUCACCAGAUUGAUUACAUUACCCUUUAAUUAAGAUCAUAAGUGCUGAAGAACUGGGACUUUGGUGUAGUUUUCCUUUGUUAUCUCUUCACCGUGGCUCUGCAAGUGUGACUUCUAAAUGCUUUAUCUGCCUAGGUCUGUAAUUUAUAGCCUGUAUUGGCCAUAAAAGAUCUUGCAUUGAUUUCCCCUUACUACAAUUGUUCCCACCCCUCUAACAGGGACCUGAGGUCACAUUCUUCCUUGCUAGUGCUUCCACAGCUGGAUCCAUUUUAAUGAAAAGCAAAAAUGUGGGUGAAAAUGUGUUGAUUUCAUUUAUAUAAGAAAGUUACCUUCCUUUUCCCUGGACCUGUUCCAUAGUUUUCCCUGGAGCUCUCAUACAGACACUUGUGGGAACUUCCACAGAAAGCUGCUGAUGCAGGCUGGGCAGCUGUCACAAGUGGUUUAUGGCCACUUUCCUCCUGAGGCAUUUGUUCUUCACAUAUCCAAAUCCUACAUUGGAUCCAGUCCUCAGUAAUGGGGAUGCUACUGCAGUGAGUGCAUCAGUGCUGAAACCCACCUGAAAUCUAAGCUGAAGCACCUUCAUAAGCCAUUCACUGCCUGGCAAGAGCCAGCCCCCAGCCAGAACAGGCUGAGACCUUUGAUGCUAUCAGUCUGGAGAUAAGGAGCAGAGUGGCCAGGCCAGCUGUUGGCUCUCACUGCAUGCCCGGUAGCCAGCCCUUAAGGCUCCUCACAGUGCUCUCAGGAAAUACCACUUUUUAACAUUUAGUUCAAGUGCAGACAGGCGUUGGAGUUGGGUAAGGAUGAGGCCACAGGUCUGUUACACCACUUUGGGGUCAAGUUUAGUACGUGGUCUCUGCCAGAUUUCAGCCACGCAGCCCAGGAACUCGGCUGGAAAUGCCACUCAGACACAGGCAUUGGUGCUCCCGUGCUUCUUCUCACCCAGAAAGCCGGGUCCUGGCCUCAGGCUGGAUCUUUCCUGCUCUUCCAGCGAGGGAAGCUGACGCAUUUAACGAGCCUUUUGCAUGCGCCAUCCCAGCUCCUCUUUGGAAGUCCUCUGCCCCCUUGCUCCAGCUGGCUGAGCCUCGCGCACCGUGGUUAUCUCAUCUCAUCUCAGUUAAGUGUUUCAGAUGCAAUUGCAUAUGGGUAUGCAGUUUCAGACUGGUUUCAAUAAUACGUAAUAAUAGUAAUGAUAGUGAUAACAAUACCUGAUGUUAUAGACGAGAAAAAUAAAACUAUUGUCUCAAAACAUAUCUGACAAGCAGUACAACGGUGUUACAUACUUGGAAGAGGGGGGAAUGGGAAUUACUUCACACGUUUCCCUCCCGUGAGCCUUGUCUAGCCUGCAUGUUACGUCGGGGAGACGGAAGCAUCUGCCUGAGAAAUGUGGCAUGAGCUCAGGUCGGGGCAACAGGCUGCCUCCCACACAGCCCAUUCAAAACGACGGCACUAUCAGAUGGAAAGAGGUUACAGACAUAGCGUAGUGUAUCAGUCUGUUAAGUAUCUUUGCAAUGGUUUCCCACAGCACUUCGCAGCUUGUUUAACGUAUCGCGAUUAACCAGUAAGCUCUGCAAGAACGUCUUACGGCCGCUGGAAAUACAAGAAGCAACCUCAAGGACCACAGCAGACGACAAACAUAAUAACGGACAGUAAGCCUGUAUCUGCUGCCUCUCCUGAAAGAUGCCCACGACUGGCAGGGUUCCAAAGUAUUGGAAGUUUAUUCCGAAUAUUUUUGUUUGAGAGCUUUCAGCAGCAGAGAUGUUGGUUGUUGCAGCGCGCCGGGUGAAACGUUGCAAAGCCACAAGGUUUCUCGCUGAGCACAGAAUAAUCAGUUAUCUGGCUGAUUCUGAGAAAAAAAAAAAAGUCUUGCUCGUGAACUGAGCGUAGCGAGAUCUUUCAGUUGAGUCUUUCUUCAGAUAUGACAGCUGGCAAAUGUCUUCUCCGGUGCGCCAGCUUGGCAAGAAAGUCAAACAGAGAAAACCAGCAUUUUUUAUUACACUUUUCACCUCCUCCUCGCCGUGCAUCUUUGCUUGUUUGCUGUUUGGCAGAGUUUGGCGAUUGCUAAUGGGAUUCGCCAACCUUGCAAGUGAGAAAGUUUCUCACCCUGUUAUCGAGAUCAAUGGUUUCCUCCAGUUCUAAUUGCAAAACACUUUCUUUAUCAUGAAAAUCUGAAAUUUCCAUAAAUAGCUUUCCCAAGGGCUAAGUAAGUGCUGAACAAAAACAAAAACAAAGGGAGAGGAAAUACAAUGAAAAUAAAUAACUUGAAUGCAAAGCCAUACCAAAGCCUGGAUUGUUUCAGGAGGAGAGUUUGGGAGGCACUGAGCACCUUGAGAGCUGAUCUGGGCACUGAUGAAGCUCAGCAUGGAAGUGCCAAAGCAUCCUACAAGCCCACUCAGAGCAGCCCGUCAGCUUUUCUUCUGGGGUCAGACUGUGACAAAGUCCAAGGCUGAUUCAACGCGGUAUUAAACCACGGGUUUCAGUUGUAGAGAUGAAGGAAAGACAAACUGGCAGAUGACAGAUAGCAGAAGUAUAUCUGAGGUGAAAUUUCUCGGUACCGAAAUGCUGGUAAACUAAAUGGCGCCUUUCCACAACUUAACUCCCCCAGAUCCAGAAUAGUUUACUGCGCGGGUCUCUGUCAUGCCAUAGAAACCUGACGUGCGGUAUGUCAGCAGUGAAGUAAUAUUGACAGACAAAUACGGCUAUUGUAUUCAUAAACGUUCGCUUUACAAAGCUAAGCACGUUGUAGCAAAAUAUCCUUAAUGCUAGCAUGAUAGACAGCAAUGUAAUCAUUGUCCUGGGUGAAUUGAGAACACAAACAAAAAUAGAUUAGCUAACAACUAAAUUGUAUUUAUCUUGCUUGACAGGGCUGGUUCAGUGAUGAGUCAUUCUCAGAUCUAAUGCCACCGCCAUCUCCAGUGUUGUUGGUAAUUGUUACUGCUGAGAGAAAAGGCUCUGACAGUCUGAAUGCUGAAGAAGCAAAGGAGCGCUAGUUUGCCUGGCGUGGGAGUGCUAGCAUUAGCCUGCCUGAGCCCCAGCAGAGGCAAUACACCAAUUAGCUGCAUACUUCCUUGAACUGUGCAGCUGGGGGCUCGGCCAGCUGGGGCCAUGGCAGGUCUGGUAGGGCUUUUAGGAGGGCAGAGUUGUUCUUCCAGGCAGGAUUGUGGCUGAGGGCCUGACACGUCUCCCACAUAAGCUGCCCCGUCCUCGUGCUGCUGCUGCUGCACAUCCCUCCCCAGCGCAGGCAGGGGUGAGAAGAGCCACAGCACAGAGGGCCCAUGAACUGCCACAUGAGCUCUGGGAAGCCCUGAGACACAGCCAAGGUGAUAUGCUUACAUGGUGAGGAGGAAACGCUGGGUGAGCUUCUCUGGGGAUUAGCAGCAUUCUACACUUCUGAUGGAGAGUAAUUAUCUUUUUGAAAACAAUUGUCAGAUUACUUUUAAAUAACAAAACUUUGCAAGGAGGUAGUCAGGUUCCAGGUAGAAACGUGUAAGGGAAAACAAAUAUUCACAGCAAGAACGGGCAUGAAAAAGAUCGGGCUUGAUGCUGAUCAAGUUCACAUCUGCUUGAAGGCCCAGCCCAAAGAGUGGUGGGGCAGCAGAGCCAAACUCAAUGGGAUGGCACGGCUGCCAGCCCCGUACAGGUGAGACCAAACUCAGAUCGCUAUCGUUUUGUGGUUUUCCUUUUUGCGUAUCGACAGGGAGGAAACGUGAAAGCCAUCAACUGUUGUGCAAAACAAAACACCCUGCCUAGGGUUGGCGGAGGCCGCCUGCCUGGGACUGCUGCAGGACAUGGCCACAGAGCAGGCCUCGAUUCAGGCUGCAGCGGGCACCGCGUGGCCUUGGGUUAGUUGUUGCCAGAGCAAAUUGGCCUGGUGGCUCCUGCACAGAGCCAGCCGGCCGUGUGCGACACCAGGGCUCAGCCAGGCAUGAAAAUAUAAAAUGAGAGAAUAAGUUAAACCACCACAUUCUUGGGGGAGAUGUUAAUGGGUGACAGCUAUCCCAUACCACCUCGGCCUCUGUUCUUUCAUCAGGAUCCAUUACUUAGUUUUUCUUUGUGUGCGCGAUGAUGCUUUCAUGAAAAACAAGCCUAUGGAAAUACUGAAUAGCAGUAGGUCAGAAGAAGUGAAGGAUGCAAAACUGCAGUUUUCCCAUGGCCUGAAAAUGACUCCCUCCCUGGCUUAGGGCAGCCACAGGUAUGCUGUUAAUUUUAAGUCCUCUUGCCAGAAGGCUAUAAAAUGUCUUUUCAUCUUACGUUACAUAAGUAUCCAACAAAUAAGAAGACUGUUAUUACAAAGGCAACCACACUGAAAAAAGGUUUCAUUUACUCUGAAAACCUGCAUUAAAAGACUUCUGAUGUCUCUAUGUAACGUUUAGGUUGCUGAGCACUUGGAGAGGAAAAUUCAUUGAAUUCUUCUUUAAAAAGAAAAAGGAAUUUAACCAGAAUCUGGGAUGCUACCAGGAACCACGUGAUUGAUCUUCAGUUAAGCAUUACGAUAACGUACUCUCUAAAGAUGAGUUCCCUUAGACUUCCAGCAUACCAGACAGCUUUCUGGAAAGCUAUGCUAAUAUUUAGCACCAAAUAACAAUCAAGCAUUCUAGCAAUCAUUCUGAACUAAACAAAACAUACAUCCAUAUGUCACAGAAGUGAAAACUGUGAGGUGCUAAAUGCAUCUUAAGAUGUGAAAAUACAACUUAGGCUGAGGAUGCUCAGGAAUUGAGAGAAAGUGCCCAGAAGACCCAGAAAGGGUCCUUAUAUGUUUCAUGGUCAAAUAAAAAAUUCUGCCUGGCUUCAUUGGUUGCUGAAUCAUUGCUUUGUAUUUUCAUAUGAUUUUCUCCAGGAAAAUAAAAUGUGUUUCUGUGAGAGUAAGAUGAAGACAUCGUGACAGUGAGGCACAGGAGGAUGCCUCUGCUAAGGGGAUUCAGCAGGCAUUCAACACACCUCUUAGCAACUAAGGAGUUCUUCCCAAAGUUGUUUAGUUGUAUUAAGUCCUUCCGCAUCCUCACAGGCUGGGAGGAACUGCAUAUAUUUAAGAUAUGCUCUAAGUCAGUUAACUUCCAGGCAGUAAGGAACCCUCACCUGCUCAUUUCACAGGGAAAAAAAAAAAAGCCCACAAUAGAAAACACCAUGUGCGUGUUGACAUCCUGCUUGUGAACCAAUAUUGUCACAAGCAAGAGGUGGGAAAGAGCAGGCCAAUUAAUGAAUGUGAACUGACUUACACUUAGCUAAAAUUAGGUACAAUAUCCUGUCUGAAGUUAUUACAAUUAACUAAAUAAAUACACCUUCUCAGUUAAUUAUUUUUGUAAUACCCUUGUGCCUAGAGGCCACAUUUGAGACUGAGAGCCAUCCGCACUAAGCGCUGCAUGCACACCCAGUGAAGACAGCCCAGUCUUGAACAGCUUGCUGUUCACAUAGAGGAAAAGGACUAAAGAACGAAAUCAUUCUUUAUUAUCUGUGUUACAGAAACAGACCUAGAGAAACCGAAUCCUCUUGCCCAACACCAUAUAAGAGUUAUUUGGCAGGACUCAGAAGCAAAGAGAGAAGAUGGGUACCCAAUUUAUUCCCUAGCACAAACAACAACGUCGUCUUUUACCAGAAGACUUCUCAUACAUGGGAUAGUUCUGGACUCUUGUUUCUCUACAUUGCAUUCAUUCUUUUUUGAAUGCAGCACAGCAUGUCAUAGCUAGAGCUGUUGAUUUCUCCUGGCUCCAUCCAUCUCACCUGUGUGAAACACAGCUAUUCUAUAAUGAUGAAUGAUGCCUUACUCGCAAAAAUUCAAGGCCUCAAGCUUACAUGUCUGUGAACAUACAGUUUCUGUUGGCUGCUUUCAAUUGCUUGAGUUCACAUUUGUCCUUCCUCAAAUCUAGAUACAUUACACCAUUACACCUUUUUGUAAUGAUGAAUAAGCUAUGUAGCAAAAACCUUUAAAGUAUAAUGGCAAGGGGAGUAAAUGUGUUUUUUAUAUAUAUGUAUAUAUAUCCAGAAAUAGCCUGUUCUUUCAGGUUAAAGUGGCUGUCCAGUAUAGCAUCACCUCUUGGAAAUAAGCCCCAAAAACUUACUUUUCUAGCAAACACUUUGUCUUCAAUAACUAAGCUACUGUUGUCACCAUUAGCAUCUCCUGAACAGUUUACACCACAUACUUGUGCACAUAGGAAAUAAAAUCAUCAAAGCAGAAACUGAACUGCUUGCUGGCUCCUUCUGCCUGCUGAAGAAAAAGGUUUAGACAUCCACAGAAAUACAGUGUGGCCGGUGUGUGGUGACUUGACUCUGUUUUAAGAGACCUCCUGCAGUGACAUCAUCCAGCAUCACAGCUCUAAAGCUUUGGCCUUUCCCUCCUCCGACACGAAGCAGUGCAGUGAUGUGACUAGCAGACACUUCUCAAUGUUUCUUUUCUCUUUAUCUGCUGAAAGCAGAUCUCAUAAGGAGACUGAAAAUCAUGAGGUUUUGAAGUGCUAUUCCUACAACUUUACCAAAGAACCUCAAAUUCGUGAACCAGGCUUUGACGGAUACAUUCUGCAGUCAAUCAGCUAUACUUGUGGAUUUGAGAAGGUUUGAAAAUUUGGCCCAAAAUAAAUGGUCUGUUCUUCUUGUAAUCUUAACUGUGGAGUUAGUGUAAUGAAUCAGCAAAGAAAAUUUAUUUUUCCAGCAGUUUAGCUAUUAAAUAUGACUUUCUGUGAGUCCUUGAGGCUGCCCAGAGCUUCCAACAAGUCAACCUCUGUGCCAUCUUCCCAGCCAUAAAAUUGUUUUCUGCUUCUUUGCCAGGCUGAAUGUUCUAGGAAAAGCCCAACAGACAAAUUACAGAUCGAUGAACAAAACAAUUAUUUUUCCCAAAUAGCCACAUGCCUGAAAGAAAAUCUUUCUUUAAAUAGCAUGGAUGUAUAAUUUGAAUUCAUUCAUAUUUUAUAGUUCCGGAAUAUUUGUUUACCUGAAACCCUGCAGCUUUCAGAACCAUAUUGUAAAGCAAUGAAAAAGACCAGCGGCAUUGGUGGCCUGGGCAUCUUCCUUUCUGAAGUUUCCUGGCUGACAGCAUGAAAAAAAAAAGAGUCCUCUGUGUUUGAUGAAUGCAAGAACCAGGUUUGUAAGCAUGGAAAGAGCCUUUAGAAACACAAGUGAGGUUUUUAUCCCUGGCCCCAGUGUCAUCCAUCUUGGAAAGCUUUCUGUUUUUAUUAUUUUAAACAGGUCAGCAACAGUAAGAUGGGAAACUAGAUUUCAAAACAGAUGUCUCUGCAGCGCUUCAUCAAAACAUUGUAUGAUUUCAGACGGAAAUUUAAUAUUGGAUGCCUUGCACAUUACCUAACCUGUUGGGGAUAUGAACCCCCAGCCUCUGAAACAGCAGCACCCCUAUUUCAGCAGCCGUGCUGCUUUGUCCCAUGCCAGCUCAUCACACAGAGGCUGGAUGAGGCUCCAAGCACCCUAAUCUAGCUGUAGGUGUCUCUGUUCAUUGCAGGGGAGUUGGGAUAGAUGACUUUUAAAGGCCCCUUCCAACUCAAAUGAUUUCAUGGCUCACCACACACCUCCAGCACCCAGCUCUUGCAGGUUGGGGCUGGGGGUCUCUCCACUUUACUGCUCCCCACAGGGCACAGAUUUUGGUCCCCAACACCAUGGCUAGUCCCUUCACAUCUGGGGUACAGCCCAGUAGCUGUUUUUCUCUCUCCUGUGCCUGUGGAUGGCAGAAGCACACUCUGGCCCCCCAUAGCACUGCAUGCCGACGCUCUGUCUCUAGGAAAGUAAUUUGGGAAGAACAACAAAGACUUCUUCAGAGAACUUCCUUGCAGAGAAGGUUGUGGUUGUCUUGCUAGCUCUCAAAAUUAAAACUACGUUUCAGUCAAAAAAUGCCUAUUCAGACUGACAUCAAAGGGAAAAACGUGAGCAGGUCAAGGAGUUUAAUUUCCACGGCACUCGUGAUUCACAUGUAGGGCUCGGUAAUGACUUACUGCCCACUGGCAAAAGAAAACUGUGAAUGAAGAGAGAAGUGAGGCAGACGAACGGCGCGGUGCCGCUUUCAGCCAGCAGUGCAGUGCUGUGGCCCAGCUCUUCAUCUGCAGCAGCCUUGGUGAGGAUGGCAGAGAUGCCCCUGCCCAAGGGUGUCACCCCAGGUGCCCCCCGGUGUGCUGGUGCCUUCACCCCCUGUCACCCUCUAGAGAGCAGGUUCCUUUCAGACACCUCAAGCCAGAAACAUUUGGGCCCUUCUGAAAAGCUGGGUCUCAGGCCGUGCAUCUCAAACCCUGCUCUCAUACCAGCAUUUAAACCUUUAGAUAUCUCCAGUUAAGGUGAAGGACUAUGUCUCAAGGUAUGAAGGCGGGAGGUAUGUAAACCUUUUAACAGUGUCUGUAUGUUCUCCUACUACUCCUUAUUUGCUUUUCUCAUGGGACGAUCCAACAAGGCAUUACAGGCUGUUGAUAAAUAGAUUUUCAGCCCAUUUCGUUUAACCAUUACUGCAUUUCCAUAUCAAAGAUUUUACACUUGGCAUGCCCAAGCCUAUUUUAUUUGUAAUCUUUUCUCAAAUGAGAAGUUUGGAAUGUUUUUUCAUUAUGUGUUUCAUCUGCAGCACACUGCCUUGGUGUUAUUUUUGAGAUGAGAUCUUUUACUCUACCUCGAGUCAUUCUACAACUCGUCGGCUUUUAUUUAUUCUGGCCUCCCAAUCUAACAGAAUUUCUGUGUUGAAACUUGUUGCUAUUUUUUUCCAGGGAUACACCGUACGAUGUUAAGCCUGUGCUGUGUAUCAAAGUGCAAAUAUAAACUAGUUGAUAGUCUCUGGUCACACCCUGGUAGGUGUGGCAGUUGGGAAUUUUUCACUUUCUGGCUGGAGAUCAGAAUGUGCUUAGCAUGGUUCCCCAUCCAGCAUCUUGGUCGGGAGGGGACUGGCUGCCUUCUGCAUGCAUGUUGUUUGAAGGGUUGGGAGCCACAUAGUUGUACCACUUCCAAAAGCAGAUUUUUACUUGUUUGGCUAUAUUUAGAGCUGCAAUCGGGAGAUCUGAGGGUAUGAUAAUCCAGUGCCUCACUGUCUUUCUCCUUCCUCUCGUUCUUUCUCCCUGUCACUUUGGGGGUGAGAGGAUGGACCAGCAUAGCUCUAGUGUCAGCCUCCAGCAUGGUGCAGAACUGCGCUACUCCAAGAGAAACUCCAAGGAGGAAGUGUGACUCAGAGAGCUGCAAUUCCUUCCACGGUUCCUCCUUGCUCCAGCCGGGGAAGUAAGUUACUUCAAUAUUUGUGCUGCUAGAGUACAGCUUGCUUCCGCCCCGCUGCUUGCAAGCCCCAGCUUGCAGAACGCAGAGAGAGAAUGCUCUGAGCCAGAACCUGCAAAAGGUGGCUUGCCUCCUUCUGCUCCUUGGCUGCCCAUGUGAGACAGGGACCAGUCCUGCCCUAGAUGAGGUUUCACUGCAAGGAGUCACCUCAAAGCCAUCUGCCUAAACUGGCCUUCCAGUCAUUCUGCAGAGAUGCACACCGCUGGCUGUCUUGUCAGGCAUCAUUUACAUUAAUAUCACAAACAGCACACUACCUGUGAGACGACUUCACGCUGUCUUUUUCUACCUAGAUUGCCCACUUUUCUGCUCCAUUUUCAUAGUCUUUCGUACAAUUAGACAAUCCCUAUCAGAGUAAUGCACAGCUCACCAGACACUUGCCUCUCAGAUAAUCUAUUUCCCACUGACUUAUUUUCCAUCACAAUUAUUCAUUAUUAUACCCAGAGACUGGCAAAGGAUUUGCAGGUAAUAAUUCCCUUGCCAAAACAAAAACGCUAAUAAGGGUAUUUGUAGGGAAACAUUCAUAAUCAGUGUUUCUUCAUUUGGAGUGCAAUCGUAAGGCCCAAGAACACCAACUGGUAUGUGACUUAUUUGCAAACGAUACAAAGGACUCCUCACCUGCCUCACAUACUGCUUAGCAGCAACACACUUUGGAAAACCAUAUGAAGUUCAUAGCUUUUUUUACACACACACACACACACACACACACACACACACACACACACACACCUCUUCAUGCAGAAAUACUGCACUACAAGGAGACCUUUCACUGGGGACACUUUAAAGACAUUCUGAUAUGACAGCCAAAGGUUGUGUUAACUGAGACAGUGUCAAACAAGAGUAGAUGAUGAUGAAUACUUCAGUGAUGCACAGGUCUGAAAACUAAAAAAGGUCAGAAAAACAAGAGAGGACAAAACUCAUCCAUAAGCACAUCAACUAGAUGGUCCAGGUAGGAAUAAAACCACCAUGCUUGUUGCUGUACCCUCCAAGGUUACCAGGGAGAGGUUUUCAGGAAGUAUUUUGCAGUUAAAAAAAAAAGAAGAGUAAGAAUCAACUUGAGAAAAUAGGUCCGUUCCUCACAUGUUCAGCAGCACAGAAAUGCACACUCGUAUACACAAUCAUAGUUCCUGCCUGAGUGAUAGCAAUCUCCAAAAUAGCCCCUGAAAGAAGAUUCAGGCUAUUGGACCAGCUGCUGCUUUCAGUGAAGUGGUCUGAACAUAGGUCUGAAUCCCACUCUAUGUGGGAUUUUGUGUACCAACAUGUAUAAAGCUCAUCCUUGUGUUAGAAGAUUUGAAUGGCACCAGUGCUAAUUCAGCUGUCCACCUGGCAAGCAUCUAGAGAGACACACACAGAAAGAGAAGCACUACUCAUUUGAGUCUUCACUCCUAGACUGAAAAUAACUGAUGUAAGUGAAGCGUGCAGUGCAAGUGUGCAAAAGUUACUUUCAUUUUGCACCAGUAUAUUCAGGAAUUUUAAAUAAGCUCAGUUAAAAUGAUCAGUUGAACUACUUUGACAGUGUUGUAAGAAAUCCUUAUGUGGCUAAUUCUUAAAUGUCAUCAGACAGCAGACCAAUUGUGCUCGAGCGCACAUUGUUACCCCAGGUAGCAGAUAACUUCCUGUGUUGAAACGAUGGCUUGAGAGCGAUAUACUUGCAGACAAGGAAAUAUCAUCUUCCAGUCCUGCUGUGUCUUAAAGUGAUCUACGAGAACUCUUUCUAGCUCGGUGCCUGUGUUUAGCCAAGGUAUUAGACGCAUUCAGGAUGUAUUAAACUCAUACACCUUCUAAAUUACAUGAUACAUGGAGUUCACACAGCUAGCUAAUUCAGUCAGAUGUGUAGUGCUAACAAUAACCAAAUAUAUCCAAUGUUACUUGUCUAGCUAUGGAAUAAAUAUGCUUGAUGGUGCUUAAUUAUACAGAUAUGUAAUGGGCACCUUCACCGCUUUCUAUAGUUAAAAUCCUGUUCCCAAUGCUUAGUAAUAUGGAACAACACUUUUGAAGUGGAGGAAUACUUUGGAAUAAAAAUCAUUCCUAUUUCACACUUUGGCACUCUGAACACAUAAUCCAAAAAUAGGGGAACGGAACCUUCAGCGGAUCAAAUCACGCACAGAACAGAAGUAUACUGGAAAUAAUUCCAUAAAGUCAACUCCCAGGACAAUGGGAUCGUCCCCAGUAAGUACUGCUUCAGCAACACUGGCUGAAUGAUUCACUGUGAGCAAUUCAGUGAAAAUAUCAGUGUUUUGUACAGCCUUCCUUUUUCUUUUUCUCCACGUUCCUCUUUCUCUUCCUCAUCUUCUUUUUAACCUUUUCUACCUCCCACCUUCUGUUGCCGCACAUGCAAGACCUAAGGAGCUAAAUGAACACAUACACAAGAAACAGAUGACAGAGCAGAUUGGCAGAAUGAAACAACCCAUGAGUAUAGAAGAUGGUAAAACAUCAAUAAUCAGUAUUGACAUCAGACAUUAUCAAAGAAAGGGUUUAUGCCCUGCAUUGUUUCAGUUCCUGAGAACGCCUCUUGCCUUCCACAUUGUAAAAUAUAGCCCAAACAAAAUGCAGCUAAGAAAAAGGGAAAAUUCUUCUCUACAUAGGAUUUAAUACUGCACCCAUCACUGCAGUAUCUGAGAGCAAGAUAUUCUAUUGCGGGCGUGGUGCAAAGUUCAUGGAAUAUCAAGUGUUGGUAAUCUGUGCUCUGAGCCUGUGAAUGUACGUGCAAAUGGAUCAGAUCCACAGCUGGCAUCUGUCUGGCUCCAGAUCUGGUCCAGUAAGUUUCUAAAGAGUAGUUCAAGACAGACCAUUGAAAACUUCCAAAGAAAGUCCCAGAGCACAUGACAGAAAUGGCCAAGUGGGACAGCACAGUAGAAGAAAGAAAUCCUGUGGGUUCAUUUCUUUAAAGCAUAAAAGUCAUUAAUCAUUUCUAUUCCUUUCCAUUCAAAACAGCUGCCUGCCCACAUUUGCUAAGUAACUGCUUUCCUAACCACACAGAAACUAGGCUGCGGGCCCCAGAAUGCUCAUGCUUCCAGAUAUUAAUAAAUAUUUCCCUCUUUCACUGUGUCAAUGAGAGCACAUUAGCAUCCUCAGCAUCUGGUUUUAGUCGUGAAAUAAUAUGUUAAUGUCUCCACACUUGGCGAAUUCCUUCCAAAAAAAAUCCUUCUUAGUGCUUAUCUUUCAGCUGAGGCUUCAGAAGCUCAAAAGCGUGGCUUGAAAACCUCAGUGGCCUUCUACCUGUGAUGCAGGACAGCACUCUUUGUCAAGUUAGAAAUGAUCUCUUUGAUCACACUCAUUUGUUUGUCUCCUCAUAGAGCUGAGUUACGCUUCCCACGUGAGCCCUUCGCUUCAAAAAGUCCACUGUCAUCCCUACAGGCUACUGCAAUUAGUGAAAUGCCAGCCAGCAGGUGGAGACGCAUGAAAGCAAUCUCAAUUCAUAGACAGGCUGCUUUGACAUUUCAUUCCCAUAGCCCUGGCCAAGCACUAGAGCGGGCCAGAGCCAGAGAAUAUAGCUAUUGGUUUCAUGGAAAAGUUCAGAAUUAAAAUCUUGGCUGGCUGACAAACAUGUGACAGAGCAGCUUCUCCAGCAUGACUGCUGCACACAAAGCCGCACUGGCGAGCCGUCCCGGCAGCACCUUUCAUGUACAACGCAGGGAGGGGAGCCCGCUGCUGCCUUCCUCCUGACCUCGCCUCAUUCACUCUGCUCAGCAGUGCCGAGCUGUCAGCAUCAGCUGUGCCGAGCCAUACGAGGGGCCACGCAUGCCAUGCCUUGUGUGCUCACGUUUGGCCUCGUGCAGGGCGAGGGUGGGCUCUGGUGGCUCAGCACCCAGAUGCGUUCCCACCUAUCUGCUGUGGAAGCUCAGCCCGAGAUGGCACGAAACGGCUUCGCUUCCUCUGCUCCUCUCCUAACUCCUCCCACCCAGCGCUUCCUCUUUCAGAGUGGAAACAUCAUUGUAAUAGCUAUUUCUGAAACGUCCCUGCCAAAAAUCAGGAAGCACAGAGGAAUACUUCAGGGCGAGGAGGGGGAAAAGGUAUCUCGCGAGUUAUUUCGGGAGUAGGGAAUUUGUUUACAUUAGUUUGGGAGGAAAGCCGAGGCUAAUCCCGUGUUGUCUUCAGACCAAUCAUUACGUUUCCAGCUCAAGUCUCUCCGUGCUUUAGGAACUAAACUCUCUAUGCUUUUAGAGACGUGGUUUAACGGGCAAUACUGGUGGCAUGUGGGUGGUUGGACUAGAGGAUCUGAGAGGUCUUCUCCAACCUUAAUGAUUGUAUGAACUGUAAGAAGCUGCAGAAGUGGGUCUGCAGAACACCACACGUGAAUGAGUCAUCUCCAGUGGAAGUACGCCUGUGAUGGGAGCUGUGCCUAAAUGCUGUGCUGAAAUAAAGCACGUGCAUGGAGAUGAAGAAGGAAGGAAGGAGACGGUGCAAAAUUAAUAAAGCUUAGAAUCUCAGCAAAAAUCUGCAAGCGCUUUGAAUCAUUUCAGUGUUUGAACACAGCAUACAAACAAACAGCAUUCAUCGUGAAGAUACUGAAAACAGUGACCCGCUCCGCAGGUUCGGACCCCUCAACACUGUAAUAAUCUGUGGUGAGUUAUCAGAGCUCCCUUGAAUGAGAAGGACGCUUCAAACCUUGCAAAAAAAAAAAAAAUCAACUUCAGUGCUUCUAAAGAAAUGCAUUUUGCAGCUUUUUCCACUCUUUUGGAUUCUUCUCCUCCCCCUUCUACCUCUCUUGCACUCUUCUCCUUGGAGAGCAGAGUUUAACAUGCCAUUGAGGAGAUAGCCUGCAUGCAAAGUCCCUCAAACAUAAACACACUUAAAGAACAGAUUCAUCACAGCAGGCUUCCAAAUGUGGAAACCACAUUCCAUCUGCACCCUUAUCCAAUGGUCAUUAGCUUAGAUCUUGAAUGGACAUUACUUAAAGCAAAGAUUAUAAAAACAUACAUACUGCUCAACAGUGAUUCAUCAGCUUCCAAGCUCUGCAAUUGAGCUCAGAGUGACUCAGGCUGGGGACUUCUGGAAUGUGCUGCAGGAAUUUGCUGCACUGAGUCUGCAAAGCUGCCUUCAGAUGGUUUCUCUGGCAACUCAGGACAUUUCAUUGAACUCAGGUAAAAGUCUACAACGUGUUGAUGUUGAUGUGAGAUGAGGAUGCUCAGCACUUCAGAAAACCAGGCCCUAAGCAAAAGGCAAGCGUAACGUUUCAACAAGUAUGAGUUACAAAUGGACAUGGUGAAGGUGGUGAUUAAAGACUGUUAUGAGUACAGCCUGGGGUACUGAUGUUGCAGUGCAAAGCAGCUUCUAUUUUAUUUUUGUGACUUAUUUCUCUAUGGAGUAUCUCUGAUAGUCUUGAUGCUUAUUAUCAAUAAUUAUUGCUGAUCCUUUACAUACCACUUUUAUUUAAUGAUUCUUGACCAACAGAAGAAUUCUGCUUGUAGCAGUCCAGACUAAAGCACUAACUUCUGCAGCACUGAAUGUUUGCUCAUACCUUCUUUCAUCUCGACCAUGUUUUGCAGAGGGGAGGGCACUCAGGCCUUUUCAGCAGGCUCUGGGAGCAGAGCUCACCUUGUCACACCUGGCGGCAGAGAGCUGCACAUCAGCUGCUCAUUCACACCCCCCUAGUAGCAGAUGGGAAGAAACAGCACCCGCAGGCUCUGGUUCAUCCUAACUAUCUCAGAUAUUUAGGAGAAGGUGAAUUGUACUCUUAGUACCUUGUGCUAUGAUUUUAGAAUGCGACAGAGAUCCACGCAGUGAAGCUUGGUGCAGUGAUAUGAAACUCUCUCAGUGAUUUUCAAAAUAUGCAACCCAUAAAUCAUUCACCUUAACCCGGACCCGAAUUUGCAUAAAACCAGAGUCGAUCAUCUCAAAAGGUAAUUUACUCAAAGCCCAAACAAUCCCAGCUGUGUGAAGCACAUAACAAAGUUAUGAAGGUAGGAUUCACAUGGCUUCAGGGUUUGUAAUGGAUGCUUUGCACAGCUGUAAUGAUGAGUGGGUGAGGAUAGUUAAGAAUGAAUGAAGUGUGGGUGGUGGAAAUAUUCACUGGGCAUGUCACGGCCAGAGGAGGAAACACAGGGGCCUCCCAGCCUCCAGGAUGGAAAGGACGUCAAGGCUCCAUGGACAGGGGUCCUACUUAUUUAUUUAUUUCAGCCCUGACACAUUCUCAUUAGGAAGGCAAAAAUGUGAAAUCGAUAGUUUCUCUUGAAUGCAGGAAGCCGACUGUGGCUGCGCAGCAGAGCUGUCUUAUAAUCUGCUUCCAAACGUGUGGGUGCCUCUUGGGUUUCCUCAGAGAUUUUAUGGACCGGUUUCAAAGUUUUCUGUAAAUUCAGGCCAACAAUGUCUGCAUCCCCUACCACAUCAG